rnacentral:rRNA from 1 species
AGCGAACGCUGGCGGCAGGCCUAACACAUGCAAGUCGAACGAAGUCUUCGGACUUAGUGGCGGACGGGUGAGUAACACGUGGGAACGUACCUUUUGGUUCGGAACAACUCAGGGAAACUUGAGCUAAUACCGGAUGAGCCCUUAGGGGGAAAGAUUUAUCGCCGAAAGAGCGGCCCGCGUUAGAUUAGCUAGUUGGUGAGGUAAAGGCUCACCAAGGCUACGAUCUAUAGCUGGUCUGAGAGGAUGAUCAGCCACACUGGGACUGAGACACGGCCCAGACUCCUACGGGAGGUAGCAGUGGGGAAUCUUGCGCAAUGGGCGAAAGCCUGACGCAGCCAUGCCGCGUGAAUGAUGAAGGUCUUAGGAUCGUAAAAUUCUUUUACCAGGGACGAUAAUGACGGUACCUGGAGAAAAAGCCCCGGCUAACUUCGUGCCAGCCGCCGCGGUAAAAC